rnacentral:rRNA from 1 species
AUUGAACGCUGGCGGCAGGCCUAACACAUGCAAGUCGAGCGGAUGAAGGGAGCUUGCUCCUGGAUUCAGCGGCGGACGGGUGAGUAAUGCCUAGGAAUCUGCCUGGUAGUGGGGGAUAACGUCCGGAAACGGGCGCUAAUACCGCAUACGUCCUGAGGGAGAAAGUGGGGGAUCUUCGGACCUCACGCUAUCAGAUGAGCCUAGGUCGGAUUAGCUAGUUGGUGGGGUAAAGGCCUACCAAGGCGACGAUCCGUAACUGGUCUGAGAGGAUGAUCAGUCACACUGGAACUGAGACACGGUCCAGACUCCUACGGGAGGCAGCAGUGGGGAAUAUUGGACGAUGGGCGAAUGCCUGAUCCAGCCAUGCCGCGUGUGUGAAGAAGGUCUUCGGAUUGUAAAGCACUUUAAGUUGGGAGGAAGGGCAGUAAGUUAAUACCUUGCUGUUUUGACGUUACCAACAGAAUAAGCACCGGCUAACUUCGUG